rnacentral:lncRNA from 1 species
CCGCUCCUGGGGAGUUUUUCCCAGCUUCCCUGGGCCGGUGAGGGGUCCUGGCGUCCUGAACUGGAGAUGCUCCUUAGAGGGCACUGCUUCAGCCACCCCUGCCUUAGCAUACAUACGGGUCCCACAGGGGUCCUUCGACACCAGCUCAUCGUCUGGGUUCCACCAUCCACCCACGCACUCAUUUGGCAGCUAUCAACGGAGUAUUCACAGUACGCUGCUCACAGUUCUAACCGCGGAGGAUAGAGUUGAGGCCCACACGACAGCCCCUGCUCUCACAGAACUGAUGUCUCUAGAAGAGUCUUCCCUCAGUGAGAACGUUCUGAUUUCUAGAACAUUCUUUCUUCUGAUGAGUGAACAGCCUCACCGGAACUUCCCCAUCCUCCUGGCUUGGUUCCUGAAGUGGCCCAAGGCUGCCUUCUCCCUCCCGUGGGUGAACAGGGUCACUGCUUCCUCUCUUGUCCAGGCCCCCUGGCCUGACCCUGAGUCCCGGGCGUAACGGCGUUGUUGAACCACCACAACCCCAGGCGGCGCCUUCCUCUUGGCCCAGGGGCUCUCUUGGGGACAGUGUGCAGUACUCCCCAAGGGGGCUUUGCUGUGCAAAAGCAGCCCCUGCCGAUGCUGCGGCUCCCGUGGAUGGAGCACUGCCGUGGGAACAGAGUUGGAACUCAUCCAAAAGAAUAAAAGACAACUGUGUUGGAAGAUUGCCAAGGUUUGUAGCUGUGCCACCGCAGACUUCAGAGAUGAACACUGCCUUGGAGACGAGGAGGAUUCAAGUUGCAGAAGCAUUUAGGUAGACACAAACAAAGAGGCAACAAAGAAAUUAGAAGGUUGUAUAAGAAGCUGCAUAGAAUCACAAUGACUGCGUUGUCCUGAAACCAACCCAGGUGACUUUCUGAAUAAGUUGGUGCUCAAUUAAUUUACUGUUAACUAGUACUCCUAUAGCUAGCUACAUUGCUUUCUAGUUCCAAUUAGACCAUUAGGAAGUUUGGCAAGUUGAACUUUUCUCUGUGUCUCAAAUCUGCCAUUCUUCAAAUGGAGAGAAAGAAUCUGAACUUCACAGGGAGUAAAACACUUUGAAAUGUAAAUAUAAAUGUAGAUGCAUAUA